CUCCUACGGGAGGCAGCAGUGAGGAAUAUUGGUCAAUGGGCGUAAGCCUGAACCAGCCAUCCCGCGUGAAGGAAGAAGGCGCUAUGCGUUGUAAACUUCUUUUCCAGAGGAAGAAAACCCCUGACGUGUCAGGGCUUGCCGGUACUCUGGGAAUAAGCAUCGGCUAACUCCGUGCCAGCAGCCGCGGUAAUACGGAGGAUGCGAGCGUUAUCCGGAUUUAUUGGGUUUAAAGGGUGCGUAGGCGGAUUAAUAAGUCAGUGGUGAAAACCUUCAGCUUAACUGGAGACUUGCCAUUGAUACUGUUAGUCUUGAGUACGGUCAAGGUAGGCGGAAUGUGUAAUGUAGCGGUGAAAUGCUUAGAUAUUACACAGAACACCGAUUGCGAAGGCAGCUUACUGGGCCAUUACUGACGCUGAUGCACGAAAGCGUGGGGAGCGAACAGGAUUAGAUACCCUGGUAGUCCACGCCGUAAACGAUGAUCACUCGCUGUUAGCGAUACACAGUUAGCGGCUAAGCAAAAGCAUUAAGUGAUCCACCUGGGGAGUACGGCCGCAAGGCUGAAACUCAAAGGAAUUGACGG
rnacentral:rRNA from 1 species